AAAGCUAUAAGUUUAUACGCUAUUUCAAAUAAAUUUUUGAGAAAAAAUCAUAACUAAUAAAAAAAGAUAUAAGUUACUCCCUCAGUUUCUUAACUAGUAGGAUACCCGUGCAUUCGCACGGGUACUAGUGUGUUAUGUGUAAUUGAUACGAAAAGAUAAAAAUAAAGGGAAAAUAGUUGAAAUUGAAAAAAAAAAUGAAAUAAAAGAUUAGAAAAAAUAUUGAAAAAG
rnacentral:lncRNA from 1 species